CCGGAAGCUUUCUUUUUCUCUCCUCCUGUGUAAAGUCCACAAGCGGAGGCCAUCUGAUCUGCUUUAAUAUCAACAGAUCUUCAUUUAAGGAAAUCUUUUGGUGGAGACGGUGGGGACCUCGACUGGCUAUCGUAGCCUGCAGGGAAUCGGCCGUCAGACAUUCUGUCGCAUGUCCCAGACCCGGUGAAAUGUAACUGAAUUGUCUUGGCCAGGCCUAAGGGUCCCAUCUGCAUCUCAUCAUUGCUGAGGAGUGUGCUCCCAUCACCCAAUCUAGCAUCCAGCCAGAGCAGGUCAUGAUAUAUUCUUUUACCAUAUUAACAUGCCAUUGUGUGUCAUGCCUGAUGUAAAGACUCUCGUCUCUGCGAGCCUACCACACAGAUUUAAUACUUGUCAUUUUUAGGGCAUACCUAACAACAUGUUUUCUUUCUCUCUCUCUCUUCCCCCCCCCCCCAAUCUGUCCCUCUGAGUUACAUGUUGAUCCUGGGAUUGAGAUGCUGGCCUCUUCUGCCCCUCGGACCUGCUUGAUCCAUCCUGGUGCCCUGUGUCUGGUCGGAGUUUUAUCGCCCCACUCCUGUGAAGGACGGCCCCAUGAGGACAGUUGAGGGUUAUACCUGUUAAAACUGUUAAUAUUAUAGUCAGGCUGUCUGUUGUUGCCCAAAUGAGGAUGGGUUCCCUUUUGAGUCUGGUUCCUCUCGAGGUUUCUUCCUCAUGUCGUCUGAGGGAGUUUUUCCUUGCCACCGUCGCCACAGGCUUGCUCAUUGGGGAUAGAUUAGGGAUAAAAUUAGCUCAUGUUUUAAGUCGUUCAAAUUCUGUAAAGCUGCUUUGCGACAAUGUUUAUUGUUAAAAGCGCUGUACAAAUAAACUUGAUUGAUUGAUUGAUUGAUUGAGUAAAGGGAUAAGGCACGAGACAAGUGCACCCUACUCACGUCAUCAAAAUGGAACUGCCGAAAGAGGAUGGAGGACCCUAUUUAAGAUGUCACGAUGCAUGCUGUUGGAGAGUAACCUCCCAAAGCAAUUAUGGACCUACAGAGAGCAGCCCAAAUUCGUAACAGGUGUUACAGUAAACGCCUAGAGCAGACACCUUACCGUGUUUUCACAGGAAAAAACAUCUAACCUAUCUCACAUGAAGGUAUUUGGCUCUGAAUGUUACGUAUAUAAGCAGGAAAAGAAGAAGUUGGAUUCUAAAUGUGACAAAAGGAUCUUUGUCAGCUAUGAUAAGUAUAGCCCAGCAUACAAUGUGUAUUAUCCUGAGACAGGGAAAGUCCUAAAACAUAGGCUAGUGAAAUUUAUCACCAAAGGUAGCGCAGAUAGCCAAACUCAGACAGAUUGUGACAUGGGGGACAACAUUGAGAGUUAUGGAAAUACUCCACCAAAGAUAGUCAACCAGGGUCAGGGACAGCUUGAAGAGAGUAGAGAGCCUAGUGUGGAGGAGACUACUGAGGCAGAUCCAACCCAGGCAGAUAGCACUCAGAGAGAACAGGGAGAAAGGAGAUAUCCUACAAGAGAGAGAAAAGCUCCAGAGUACUUAAAGGAGUAUGUAAAGCUGAGUGUGAUAAUGAUGAAUGUGAAAACGUGGAUUAUUUCUACAGGGUGGCCUAUGAUGUACCUAAAACAUUUAGAGAGGCUAUGGACUCUGAGAAAUCAAAAAUAUGGACUGAUGCAAUCAGAGAAGAGAUGAACUCUUUAACAGAGAAUGAGACUUUCACUCUGACUCCACUGCCGAAGGGCAAACAAGCAGUGGGAGGUCGCUGGGUAUAUGCAGUGAAAGAGAGCCCAGAUGGAUCUGAGACUUGUAAAGCCAGAUAUGUGGUAAAGGGGUAUGGUCAAGUGGAAGGGAUUGACUAUAAAGAGACAUUCUCACCCACGGCCAACAUGACCUCUGUCCGAGCAUUAAUGCAGGUUGCUGUACAGGAGGAUCUUACACUACACCAAAUGGAUGUAAAGUCUGCUUACCUCCAUGCUCCAAUGGACUGCGAGGUAUAUAUGGAGCAGCCGGAAGGUUUUGAGAUUAAGUCUGAAACAGGAGAACACUUAGUGUGCAAAAUCAAUAAGUCAUUGUAUGGGUUAAAACAGUCCGGUCGUAACUGGAACCUGUUACUGACUGCAUGAUCACCUUACGGGGAAUGGUUUUGUGCAAAAUGAUGCUGAUCAUUGUGUCUACAGCAGAGAAUCUGACAAUGAGAAAGUGAUUCUGUUAGUGUGGGUAGAUGACUUAAUCAUAGCAGUGAGUAACAACACAUUACUCAGUGAUGUAAAGGAGAUGCUGAAGAGAAGGUUUAAGAUGAAGGAUAUGGGUCCACUUAGGCUACAUCCACACGACAACAGCAAUGAGAUUUUUUUUUUAAAUAUCGCGUCCACAUGGGCAACGGAUCAGUAAAAUUUCAGGUACAUAUGGCAAUGCAGCGCUUGCUGAAAAUGAUGCAAUACACAUGCCACACCACUACGUGCGCUGUAAGACGGUCCCAUCAGAGACACCAGAACAAUAGAAGAAGUAGAUGCAUGCGCAUAAACCCCUUCUUCUGUAGCAUUAGCCACAUAAAGUUUUGAUGAUUAAUCAGUAGCGUAAAAUGAAAGACGUGGAAAGAGGAAUGAAUGGGGAUAGAUGGAAGCCGGUACGCCAACAUUCUGAUAUCCUCCAGAAUUCUUUAAUGGUCCGGAAUAAAUUGAAUGCUACACGUUGAUGGAUUACUUUGUUCUUCUAUGCCCUUUUUGAGGAAUGUAUUGUCGGACUUAAACCAACAUCUGAAGAGGUGAGAUCGCUCCUUUUUUUUUUCUAUUUUUGCUGGCGGGAUUGUUUUUGUUUAUUUGGUACUGCUUCCACAGUGUUUGGACUAAAGACUCUGCCCUAAGGGCUAUUCUCUCUCUCUCUCACUUUGCACCAUUACACAAUAAAUAUUCACAGUGAAAAUAUUUUGUAAGCGCGUUUCAUGAACCAAGUUAUAGGAUUUGUUGACAACUCGCAUCGAGUUCGUUACACUUCUACCCGGCGUGAAGCACUGACAGUCAUGGUUGUGACGUCAUCAUAAACAAAUCCGUUCUACUCAUCCAGACGACUUCGCAAUGGGGCCGUUGCCAGAUUUUUCCACUCUGGAACCCGUUCUCAAAAGAUUUUGUUUUGGGGCACCCAAAACGCCGGUGCCGUGUGGACGCCAGGCCGAAAUGAUAAACAAUUUUAUCAGAUUCACCUGAAUCCGUUGCCGUGUGGACAGGGCCUUAAGCACUUUCUGGGUAUUGACUUUAGUCACAGUGAAGGAGAGAUCAAAAUGACUCAAAAGAGACACAUUGUGAAAAUGUUAGCAAAAUUUGGAAUGUCUGAAUGUAAACCGAGAUCCACCCCAUCUGAGCAAAAGUUGAAUUUUGACAAUGAGGGUGAGGCUAUUGCCUCAACAGGAUAUAGAGAAAUAGUAGGUAGCUUGAUUUACAUUAUGACAUGUACCAGACCUGACUUGAGCUGGAUUGUUAGUAAGCUUUCACAACACUUAGCUGAACCAAAGCAACAGCAUUGGGUUGCAGCAAAACACCUACUGAGAUACCUAAAGGGUACAAUAGAUCAAGAAUUACACUAUCGAAAAUGUGAGGAAAGCCUACAACUUGAGGGAUAUAGUGAUGCUGAUUGGGCAACUGACAAAAAUGAUAGGAGGAGCACAACUGGGUACUGUUUCAGCUUAACUGAGAGUGGUCCAGUUAUAUCAUGGAAGAGUAGAAAGCAGCCAACAGUGGCACUAUCUACCUGCGAGGCGGAGUAUAUAGCGCUAGCAGCCACUACUCAAGAGAGUAUGUACCUAGUACAACUACUUAAAGGAAUGGAUGGUAGUAACCAGCAUGUACCAGUCAAGAUAUAUGAGGACAAUCGGGGGCAGUAGCGUUGUCUAAGAACCCAGUAUGCAGACAGAGAAGCAAACAUGUGGAUAUUAAGUAUCACUUUGUACGUUCUGCACACACAGAAGGGAAGAUAUUAAUAGAAUACUGCCCUACUGCAAACAUGGUAGCUGAUGUUCUUACGAAGCCAUCUCAAUUUAGCAAAGGCUAAAUUUGAGAAGUUCAAGGGAUAUUUGUUUGGAGAGGAAUGAGAGCUGACAGAUGUAAAUGUUUCUGGAGAGAAAUGCGAACUGUUAAGUUUUGUAAUGAUAAGUUUUAUUUGAAGUUUUCAGAACACUGCCAGUACUGUAUGCCAAAGCUUUUAUUUUGAGUUUUGGAGUUAUGUAUUUUUGGUUUUGUUUACCACUAGAGGGAGCUAUAAACAUGUCUUUGAGUGGGAGUGUUAAGCAUUUGAUAAAUAGUAGCAAAGUCAUGUUAAAUAGCUUACGCAGUGAUGUCAUACUGAACGUGAGUGCCUGCGUGCACCGGGAUGUAUAUAUUGAGCAUGCGCAGAAUAAAAGGCCAGUGAGUGAGUGAGUGUCGGAGGCCAAAGAGA